AGAGUUUGAUUCUGGCUCAGGAUGAACGCUAGCGGGAGGCCUAACACAUGCAAGCCGAGCGGUAUUGUUCUUCGGAAAUGAGAGAGCGGCGUACGGGUGCGGAACACGUGUGCAACCUGCCUUUAUCUGGGGGAUAGCCUUUCGAAAGGAAGAUUAAUACUCCAUAACAUAUUGAUUGGCAUCAAUUAAUAUUGAAAGCUCCGGCGGAUAGAGAUGGGCACGCGCAAGAUUAGCUAGUUGGUGAGGUAACGGCUCACCAAGGCGAUGAUCUUUAGGGGGCCUGAGAGGGUGAUCCCCCACACUGGUACUGAGACACGGACCAGACUCCUACGGGAGGCAGCAGUGAGGAAUAUUGGUCAAUGGGUGCAAGCCUGAACCAGCCAUCCCGCCGUGAAGGACGACUGCCCUAUGGGUUGUAAACUUCUUUUGUAUAGGGAUAAACCUACCCUCGUGAGGGUAGCUGAAGGUACUAUACGAAUAAGCACCGGCUAACUCCGUGCCAGCAGCGGC
rnacentral:rRNA from 1 species